UAGAUUUCUUAGAAAACUGCCUACAGA
rnacentral:misc_RNA from 1 species